CCCGCCCCCACGUGCUUUCCUGCUCUGUAGGCCGCAAACUAAUUUCGGAGGCAAGUCCGGGCCGGCAAGUCCAGGGAGGCCUUUCUCCUCCCCCUCCCAGGUAUCCUGUGAGGGAGCCAUUCCCGAGCGCACGCAGGGAAUUAUGGGAUUACCGAUCAGUUUGGCGGACUGAAAGGGGGGGGGGGUUGCAAGGGAGAGCGACGUUGAACUUUAGUAACUGAGGAGAAGGGAGCCAGUGAAAGGUUUUGUGGGGAAGAAUGGAUUGGAGUGGGGAAAGUAGAGACAAAUACCUGGAAGGAGGUUUAUGGUAAUUUACUACCCCUGAGAACAAGAGGCUGGAUUAGACUUAGAGUGGAAACAUCCCCUUCUUCUGUUUCUCAGUCCUUUACAAUCUAGAUUCCAACUUUAUUUCACAACAAUAAGGUUGUGACUUUUUAAGAUCUAUCUUUGGACUCUUCCUCCCUCCCUUCUCAGAGCAUUUGAUUUCUUCCUGGGUAAUUUUGUUUCUCCUACCUGUUAAGACCACUCCCCCUUUUCACUCUGUUGCUGGAUCAUCAUCCAAAUUUUAUCACCUGGAUAAAGGGUAAAUCUGUACUAAUCAUGUCUGUGUCCCAGGCAUCUCAUUUUUUUUCUGCAUCAUUUUUUCAUGAUGGUUUCUCCAUGAAACUUCAAUUAACUAUGUAGAUGAUUAAUCCAGCCUAUGUGUCCAGACCCAGUCUUACGUCCUGAACCUGUUUCAUGUUACCAGAUGCCUGUUGGCUAUCUCCACUUGGAUGUCCUAUAGGUCUUCUAUCACCUCUUCCCACCUCAGUGGCAAACAGAUACUUCAGCAUGGGACAGAUUAAGCUGGCAUGGCAGAUCAUACCAUACAUACAUCACUGCUGGCACUGGAUGAGAGAG